ACGAACGCUGGCGGCGUGCUUAACACAUGCAAGUCGAACGGAAAGGCCCUGCUUUUGUGGGGUGCUCGAGUGGCGAACGUUUGAUUAACACGUGAGUAACCUGCCCUUGACUUUGUGAUAACUUCAGGAAACUGGGGCUAAUACCGGAUAGGAGCUCCUGCUGCAUGGUGGGGGUUGGAAAGUUUCGGCGGUUGGGGGUGGACUCGCGGCUUAUCAGCUUGUUGGUGGGGUAGUGGCUUACCAAGGCUUUGACGGGUAGCCGGCCUGAGAGGGUGACCGGCGACAUUGGGACUGAGAUACGGACCAGAGACAUACGGGAGGCAGAAGAGGGGAAUAUUGCACAAUGGGAGGAAGACUGAUGCAGCAAAGACGCGAGCGGGAUGACGGCAUUCGGGUUGUAAAAAGAUUUAGGGUGAGAGGAAGAGUGAGUGACGGUAAUGGGUAAAGAAGCACCGGCUAACUACGUG
rnacentral:rRNA from 1 species